CUUCAAGUUCCCUGCCUUGAACUCUGCUGCUCUUCUCCGAUUAAACAGGCUGCCUCUGACUCCAUCAAGACUGGACCCGACGGCAAGAGCCAAUAGAUUUCCUGUGACCAGCACCAGGCAUGUUCCAUAUCUUC
rnacentral:lncRNA from 1 species